rnacentral:rRNA from 1 species
GAAGUUAGCGGCGGACGGGUGAGAAACACGUGGGUAACCUGCCCAUAAGACUGGGAUAACUCCGGGAAACCGGGGCUAAUACCGGAUAACAUUUUGAACCGCAUGGUUCGAAAUUGAAAGGCGGCUUCGGCUGUCACUUAUGGAUGGACCCGCGUCGCAUUAGCUAGUUGGUGAGGUAACGGCUCACCAAGGCAACGAUGCGUAGCCGACCUGAGAGGGUGAUCGGCCACACUGGGACUGAGACACGGCCCAGACUCCUACGGGAGGCAGCAGUAGGGAAUCUUCCGCAAUGGACGAAAGUCUGACGGAGCAACGCCGCGUGAGUGAUGAAGGCUUUCGGGUCGUAAAACUCUGUUGUUAGGGAAGAACAAGUGCUAGUUGAAUAAGCUGGCACCUUGACGGUACCUAACCAGAAAGCCACGGCUAACUACGUGCCAGCAGCCGCGGUAAUACGUAGGUGGCAAGCGUUAUCCGGAAUUAUUGGGCGUAAAGCGCGCGCAGGUGGUUUCUUAAGUCUGAUGUGAAAGCCCACGGCUCAACCGUGGAGGGUCAUUGGAAACUGGGAGACUUGAGUGCAGAAGAGGAAAGUGGAAUUCCAUGUGUAGCGGUGAAAUGCGUAGAGAUAUGGAGGAACACCAGUGGCGAAGGCGACUUUCUGGUCUGUAACUGACA